UUAGCUGAUUUGAAGAUUGCCAAAGAGCUUGACAUCAACAAUCUGAAGGUCUUCACCAACUCACAAUUGAUUAUCAGAUAGGUCAAGGGCAAAUUUGAAUCCUGAGACUCUAUUAUGAUGAAAUAUCUUCAGAAGGUAAAAAAUCUUACGUCCACUUUGAAGUAUUUUGAGAUCUUUUACAUCUCAAGAGCAGAAAAUGCUCGAGCCGACUCACUUUCACGACUCACAACAACUUCUUUCAACUCGCU
rnacentral:lncRNA from 1 species